AAUUCUAUACUAACACCAACUCUAUACUGAUUUCAAAGCCCGCCGAAAUUCACGCUUCCAAAUUCACGAUCCCAUCACCACCAAUUCUAUAUUGAUUUAAUUGAUGAAAAUUUGGUGCUUCCAAAUUAACACCAUCACGCUUCCAAAUUUGGGUUUUCCAUCUCGAACUGAAAUCAAAACACCGAUUCAGUGGACAAAAAGUGUAUUUGGUCAACCGCAAGCCAAUCUGGAAAAAAAAUACCCAUUUUGACGGAAACAUGCUUUGACACGACCCGUCCACCUUGCCACCCAUAGUCAGAGCCUCACAUCCUAAUGCAAUGAAUCUUUAUGCCUGACCUCUUUUCUAUAGACAAGGAAGUACUUGGAUGCAUAUGUCCCGCAGGUUUGAUAAUAACUUCACUAAGUAUGAUGACCGCAUACUUUCUUUGAGUCAUAGAUAUAUAACUUAUUAACUUAUCUUUGUUUGGAUCUGUAGAUUCCUUGGAUUCUCUCUGGCACUAUUCGUGAUAAUAUUAUAUCUGGAAAGGAUUAUGAUCCGACCAGCGGCUGGAGAUCCAUCUUAUUUGUCUUGGAACCAUAAUCCAGUUGGUUACUGAUUUAUGCUAUAACUGGGUUGAAGGACAUAUGUUUCCUGUAUCUAAAGUAUGAUUUUUUUCAGCCUUUGCUUAGUAGAUAUCAACUCCUUGAAUAUUAGUUUGUGGGAAUUAUGCUGCAUUCUCUGGUUGGUAUAUUACAGCCAUAACAUGCCUGUCAGCAAUUCUAAUGCAGAUUCUCGAAAUGGAAAUGAUCAAUGGCUGUCUUAUUGGGUUGAUACGCCAGCAUUAGAACAGCAUCCAACAUCCUUUUAUCUGGAAUCUUAUGCUGCAAUCAUAUAAGAAAUCAUCCUUUGAACUUUGAAGUGAAUAAGUGACAAGCUGGCUGGUGAGAUUCGAGGAGAAUGAUAGUCUUGUUCUGACCAUUUGAAAAGAAUUUGGAUAUAUUGAGACAGUUUUGAAGGGGUGUUAAAUAUAGUGAUCUGCAAUUCUACAAUGUUAAUCUUCUUUUUUUAAGUAACGAGAAAUAUGAGGAUGCAUAUGAUGGGCACUCCUUUACUUGGGCUGUGUUUUUAUUUGAUGAGUUGUGACUAUAUAUGAACUUAAUGAAGAUCGUGGCUAUGAGCUAAAAGGAGUUUAUGGACCACGCAACCAACACUAUGGUGGAUAUCUCUAAGCAGCCUUCAAGACUCUUACUCAAUAAGAGUCUCACGCUACACACAACUUACAACCACAAUGUAGCUGUUAACACCACUACUACAAUUCAAGCUGUCAUCACAAUCUGAGGUCUAUAUAUAGAAGAUUAAUUUUCUUUUUAAUAGACACUAUAGAGUUUUUAGUUGUUCAAUUUAAAUGUAAUCUUUGUAUUUAUUGUCUAUAUAGCAGAUUCGAUAUGAUCUGCCUUCUGCCAUAGUUUAAGCAUGUUCUUGUAUUGAUACUGACACCUGUAAGAACUAUAAAAUAUCCGAAUAUAUGAUUUGGUUGAUUUUGUCUAAA